AUUGAACGCUGGCGGCAGGCCUAACACAUGCAAGUCGAACGAGGGGCGGACGGGUGAGUAAUGUCUGGCAAACUGCCUGAUGUAGGGUGAUAACUACUGGAAACGGUAGCUAAUACAGCAUACUAUCGGAUGAACCCCGAUGGGAUUAGCUAGUUGGUGGGGUAACGGCUCACCAGGGCGACGAUCCCUAGCUGGUCUGAGAGGAUGACCAGCCACACUGGGACGGAGACACGGUCCAGACUCCUACGGGAGGCAGCAGUGGGUAAUAGGGCACAAUGGGCGGAAGCCUGAUGCAGCCAUGCCGCGUGUAUGAAGAAGGCCUUCGGGUGGUAAAGUACUUUCAGCGGGGAGGCGUUACCCGCAGAAGAAGCACCGGCUAACUCCGUGCCAGCAGCCGCGGUAAUAC
rnacentral:rRNA from 1 species